GUCGCAGUGUGGUCGCAAUGCUUGCAAUGUUGUAAGAUGGACGUGUUCCUGUGGAGUGUUUUAAGUUAUUUUCGGCCUUUUCGCAUGUCACCAGAUGUAAUAGGGGAAAGCAUUUGUUGCCUUUUCCAACAACAAGAGGAUCAAAACAUCUGAACUGCCCAAGACUGCGAAAUCCCAUCUGGCUUGUGAGGAAGGAAAGAACAUCACAUCUGAAUACUGGGACCUCUCUUUCCAGAAGAGAAAGCACUACAUAUAAGUGGGAUUCAGGUAAGAAUGGUUCAAGAAGAUAUG